GCCUUCCAAGCCAGUUGCGAGGGUUCGAUUCCCUUCACCCGCU
rnacentral:tRNA from 1 species